UAUUCAUAAGCACUCACAGAUUCCUGAGACAGACUCUCCUGUUUUACAGGUACUCCUUACAUUUUCCAGGUGGCAAUUUGCCUCUAUUUUAGAAAUAUUUGAACAUGUUUUGGAUGCUGAUUAUUAACCAGACAUUAUUCUCUCUCAGUAACCUGUCAUUAUCUCUGUAGUUUCAUCCACUAACUUUCCCACAGUGCAUUUUAUUUUACAGCACAGGCUGAUUGUGACACUUAAUGAUUUGAGUAUUAGAUGAAAUUUUGCUGGCUAAAACUCUUGAAGGGGGGGGCGUUUUGUUUUUGUUUUCCACAGGUCUUCUUGACUAUAAAUAAAUACAGGUCUCUUCCUCUUCUAAUCUGUUUCUGGUGGUGUCUUAGACUACAACGCUGGCUGUCAUAACGAUGCUCCAGGCUCUUGCAGUGUAGAAAACAAGAAGACUGUUGAUCUCCAUGCCAAAGUGUUGAUUACGAAGUGGCACCCUGCUUCACUCCAAAUGCAUAAUCCUGUCUGAAGCUCACCGAAGCCGAUGAAAGUCCUUCCAUUGGUCUCAGAAGUCCCUACCUGAGGCUCAUAAUCUAUGUAUUACCUUGGCCGUAGGAAUCUGAGCCAAGUGAUUACCAAAGUGAAGUGGAGCAGCAUCAACAGGAAGGUGUGAGAGACAUGUCCAAGGACCCCAAGGGAGAGAGGAGGAAGCUAACCCUUAUCUACGACAUCCUGCAAUUAAUGCCAGUGCUUUCUAAGGGACUCUCUUCUACCUCUCACUGUAUUUUUUGAGGAAGGCUUAGUAAACACAUUUCAUCUAACGCAUCCUCCUUGGGCAUCUCAAAGGGACCCUGAGUUGGGGAACAGGAUGUGCAUCAAGGCACUGUCCUGAUACCAAAUGCAAACCCCACUCAGAGAACCCAUGGGAAGUGAUGGUCACUCCUGGAAGAAUAAAAUCUGCCUCCAUGCAGCCAGUCAUUUCCCAGGAUCAUGAGGCUUCCUUGGGCUUUCUGAAUGUCACCCCAAAUGCGUGACUAGAGAGGAGCAUCACUUAAAAGCAGGUUUUCAGCUUGUUGGGUGAGUGGUCGUCAUGUAAGUCCUUCAUGCUUCCUGCUGAAAGUGUACUUCAGCUUCCUAACAAUUACAUGUAAUGUAAAAGGACCACAGGACCUCUGGACAUACACCUGAUUUCUGGUACUGAGAAUGGGCAUGUUGCUCAUGUGGGUAUAUAGUCCGAUAAACUCAGCCUCUUUUCUAUUCUGGAAAAAAUGUUCCUCAGCUAAUUAGGUCCUGUGAGCAGGUUGUGAUCUUUUGUAAGUUUUUGCAAAUGCUGUUAAUGAAAAUACAUCACAACAACUACUGGCAAACUGGUAUUACUGCUGCUUCCUCAUCUGUUUCUCUCUGCUGUGCUUGAUCGCUGACUCAAGUUUGACAAUAUCAUGGCAAGACCAGCUGAAGCCCUCACUACAGCCUAGCCAUUCACACCAUCUCAAUACUCACUUAAAAGAACCCCUCUUUUUAGCUUUCUUUACUUUUUAUUUUUCCACCCAGUUGCUUGUUUCAAGCUCUGAUCUGGUGGCACAGCCGCAUCCCCAGGGACAGGGGAACUCCAUCCUGUGGCACCACUGCAGAAUUCACUGCUUCAUCAGAUCACAACCUACUUGUUAAUUCACUUAAAUCACAUGAAAAAGUGUUCUGGCUGUGGUGAAAGAAUUGGGAAUAAAUCUUGCUCCAAAGUGUUAUUUCUGCUAAAAUGCAGCACAUUUCAGGAUACAACAAUCUGAUGAAUAAGCCUUUUGUUAUCAACCUAGCAAGGAAAUGAAAUGGUCAGAUACAUGCCAGGGCUGAAAAUUCAAGGCUUUCCAAUACCUUGGCAAUGGCUUUACCCAUGUGCCUGCUCCACCAUUCAUUCCUCCCCUCAAUGCCUUCCCCAUCACUGUCUCCUGCAGCUGGAGACCUCUUUGGCAUCUCCAUCCUCUUCAAACCCUUCCUUAGACCCUGUUCCUUUUGCUCUGCCUAUUAAACUCCACAACAGCUCCGUGGUGGGCACAGCACAGCUUUGGUGUGCUGUGCCAAGGGCAGCUCUGCCACCCUUAGCUCACCCUGCCUUUCCUCUCUUCUGCUACCUGCAGAUCUAUGUAUCCCUCUGUCUCUUGGCUCCAAGGAACUGGAAAGAUGAACACACACCAAAACAAAGCUUGUCCUUUCUUCUUUAAGUUAUAACACAUGGAUUGGUUUUGUUUAUUUCAGCCAUUUACUUUUGGGUGCAGAGUUGUGGUUUACUGCUGGUGUCACCCCAACAGUACAAGCCUUUGUGCAGGGCUGUGGCUGUAUCAUCUUGGAGUUGCUCCUGUCCAUGUAGCCAUCUCUGUUAGACAUGUGGGAAUCAGGUCCCAUCAGUGUAACUGCA